UUACUCCACCCUAAGGGGAACUUAUAAAAAAUGUAUCAUGGCUCAAUCAUUCUUUUUAUUAUAUAAUAUGAGGCCUUUUAUGCAUGGUUUUUACUGUUUUCCCUCUGUCCCUAAGCCAGACUUUGUAUCUUCAACCUCGCUUAAUUCUAAAUUAAAUAUUUAAAUAAUGUAGAUUUCAAGUACAAAUGAUAAAAUACCAUUUAUUUCAAUUCUACAUAUUAUAUAUUGUGAUACAUAUUCACAUUUUCCUAUAUUUUUCAUAAAUAGAACCCUUGUCCCUUGGGGUCACUGUCAUUUCCACCACACUGUACAAAAUAGAAUCCUGGGAUCAGUGUUUUAGGUUUGUAUAUUUAGUAACCAUAGCAACAGAAACUCCACAGUGGAACACAUGGCUGGAUGAAAUGGUGUCCUCUACAGGGGGUAAUGAAAAGAAGAAAAAUCAAGAUGGCAAGCAAUACCACAGCACAGAGGUCAAGAUCAUACAGAGAAAGAAUAAAAUCAGAUCCACUUAAAUAUGCAGAGUCCCUCAAGAAGGACAGAGAAAGAUACCUGAAGAAAAAGCAACAAGGUGUUGUUAAAUCUGUGACAGAAAUGCCGAAAAGAGAACAACGAAAAAUGAGAAGACAGUGGCGAAUUUCUCAACGAAACAGACGUAGGAAAUGGAAAAUGGUCUCAGCAGUGAAUAGUUUCAUGGCACAUACAACACCACCACCAUCACCAGACAACAUGAGUGUUAAUGCAGAAGACAUCCCUGAAACACCUCAGCUGUGUGAGCCUACACCAGAGAGAACUCCACAGAGGAAAAGAGGGAGAAAAAAGGUUGCGAAGGCAAAAGCAAAGGUGUACAGAGAUCUUAAUCCCCAUCCUUGCCAGUGUUUUGGUCUCAAAAAAGUCAACAUACUGGGAGCACAGAACAUGGAGACUGCAUUGGGAUCACCAAGUUCAAGCACACUUACCAGCACAUCUCAACCCAUCAUAGACCUGCAUGAGGGACUGAUUGGAAGUUGGUGUGUGGUACGGUAUGAUGGGGAUCCUUACCCUGGCAUUAUACAGGAUGUGGACCCUGAGGGUUGUGCUCUGGUGAGAACCAUGAGUCAUAUUGGCAAAAAUAAGUUCUUCUGGCCUAUGAGAGACGAUGUUAUUUGGUACCGGCCAGAAGAUGUGAUCAGGCUGGUCCCAGAGCCUCAACCAGUAACAAAGAGGCAUGUGAUGGUGGAGCCAACAGUUUGGAAAGAAAUAUGCUCUGUUCUUGACCAUGAAACAUAACUGAACCUCUGGCCCAUAUGCAAGUUUGACAGAUACAGUAUUUAGCAAAUACAAUGUCUAUUUAGUCAGAUUCAACUUGUUAUUCCACAUGAUUACGUUUGACAGUACAUGGAUUUACGAUAUAACACACAUGACAGUAAUGUUUAAGUACAGAGUGUUUGCUCUGGUUCAGCAUAGGCAUAUAAGUUUUCAAUUUCAAAAUAUAUUGCCUAUUUUAUCUGUUAUUCAACUGGUUAUAUUAAGGUUAUGUUAAGGUAAUGAUGACAUAAAGGGUUUGCUCUAGUUUGUACUAGUUUGCUCUAGUUCAGCAUGUAGAAAACAGUGAAGAAAUGAUUUGCUGAUUUUUAACACAAAUUCAUGUUUUUUAAUUUUUUGGAUUGUUUUUAAUUUAAAAAUAUUGGUGAUAUGUUUUUGUUCACAAAUGCUGUUGCUUAUUGAUUCGCUCUGGUUCACCACAUAGAGCAGUAGAAAAAUUGUUUUUAAUUGGAAGUUGCCUAUCUGUCAUUUCCGCCACACACUGUCUCUUCCGCCACGCCAUGUCAUUUCCACCACAACACAUAUUUUAAAGUAAAACAUAUAAAAACAUACAAUCAAACCAACUAUAUUCAGUGGUGUUGAUAAUUGUGCAGUUAGGGCUAAGAUUUGUGUAUACACUUUGAGAAAUAUAUGAUUUUGAGCUAUGAUAAGAAAAUGAAAUGUUCCAUUGACCUAGUUUUAGGUGUUUUUUAGUGUAAACAUUGUAAAAUCUUUACAGUUACAUUUCUGAAAAAAAUAAUAAAUUACAAAUUUGAACAGA